rnacentral:lncRNA from 10 species
CUUGCGAUGGAGCCUCGCUUUGUCACCCAGGCUGGAGUGCAGUGGCAUGAUCUUGGCUCACUGCAACCUCCGCCUCCCGGGUUCAAGCGAUUCUCCUGCCUCAGCCUCCUGAGUAGCUGGGACUACAGGUGCCUGACACCACGCUUGGCUAAUUUUUGUAUUUUUAGUAGAGACGGGGUUUCACCAUAUUGGCCAGGCUGGUCUCGAACUCCUGACCUUGUGAUCCACUCGCCUCAGCCUCCCAAAGUGCUGGGAUUACAGGCGUGAGCCACUGCACCUGGCCAGUUUUUGUCUCUUUUAGAUCAGUUCCUCCAUUGCCUCAUUUAUCUUUUUUAAGCUGCCAAGUUGAAGUGGGUCUUU